rnacentral:sRNA from 1 species
CAGCUACAACCACACGAUGUAGGUUUAAGUAAGUUCAUUGAACCGCCUCGCAUCGGUGAGUCUAAGUAUAAA